rnacentral:rRNA from 1 species
UACGGGGGGGGCAAGCGUUGUUCGGAAUUACUGGGCGUAAAGGGCUCGUAGGCGGCCAACUAAGUCAGACGUGAAAUCCCUCGGCUUAACCGGGGAACUGCGUCUGAUACUGGAUGGCUAGAGUGUGGGAGAGGGAUGCGGAAUUCCAGGUGUAGCGGUGAAAUGCGUAGAGAUCCGGAAGAACACCAGUGGCGAAGGCGGCCCGCUGGGCAGUGGCUGACACUGAGGCGCGACAGCGUGGGGAGCAAACAGG